UUAUAUUCUUAUUAUACAAAUUAAUCAGAUUAAUAACGUUAAUUAAUAAAAAGAAGGAAAAGGGAAUUAGGGUAAAAUGUAAUGUGACCUUCAGACUCCCUUCACUCGGAUUUCUUCUCCCUCGCGGCGGUGGCUGAAGCUUCACCGAUUCAAACUUCCCCUUCUCCGAUUCAAAGUCCGGCCACCACACACUCGACAGAUCUCUCCCACUCUCUUCUCAACGCGGCGUCGCUAUCUCCGCCUUCUCCUUCGUGACAAAGCGGCGGCGAACCUCUUCUCCGGUGAACUUUCACUCAGUCUCUUGCGUGUUGGCGUGAACGCAUCGCGGUGAUGAUGAAGACUCUACGGUGCUUGAAUGUGAUGCAGAAGCGAUUCAGAUGAUGAAUCGGUGAUGGCGAUGUUGUUGGAGAUUGUUGUUAACAUUGAAGAACAGAUGAACAAUUCGUUUUCUUCUUGCAGGUGAAUUCUCUUUUUCUGUUAUCGUUCUCCUUUUUUUUUGUUUCGAUUUCUUCCGAUUCUUUCUUCUGUCUGUUGUUCUGUGGAUUGAAGGAUGAAGAAUGAGAUUGUGAAGGUCGUGGUGAUUGAAGAUGAGGAGUUUGUUGUUGUUCACAGUGGUGAAGAUGAUGAAGAUUGAAGAGUGGAAGAAGAGUGGUGGUGACGGUGAAGGUGAACUUCAAAGAGGAAUCCGAGAGGGGGAAGGUUUGGAGAUUGGAGAAUGGUGGAGAAGGGGAGUGUUGGUGAAUGAUGAAGAUGGAAGUUGAUUGUGGAGAGUUGCAGAGUGCAGAAAUGGUGGCAGAGUGAUUGUUGAAGAUGGGGAUGAAGUGAAGGGUUGAAGAUUGUGGAAUGGUAGAGAGCAAUUGUUGAAGAAUCUGAAACUGAUAAAGAAAAGAAUGGUGGGGGCCCCUGAGUGAAGGUGGAGAAGAGAAUAUAUAUGUGGAGAAAAUCGAUUUUUGAAGGUUUGGAAUGAGACUGAAACACGGCUUGGCAGCAUAGCAUACUGAGGCAAGACAAUCAUGAUGGCAGGAUGAUUUAGCAGCAUUUAUAUUGAGUAGGGCGCGGUGACGGCAUCAAGUUUUUUUCAGCAAGCCUCCGGACAGAUUUUAGAGCAAGCUUUUGACCAUUGUUUUGUUCUUUCUUCAUCCUUUUUUAUGUCCUAUAUCAUGAGGCAAGGCUAUAGUAUAGAAUUGGGAAAUGAAUGUAAAUAGGUUUGACAAUCAAGACAGUUGUAAUUAGAGAUUGAAUUGUAACUCUCUCUUUUUUUUGAAAUUUAGUUGAACACAUGACUUGGUAGAGCAUAAAAGAGCAAUGUAUUUUUGACGAGUUUGAAUGAUGCUUGAACAAGUUAUAAUGAAAAGACAUUGAGCAAUGAACUUGGCA